UGAGUAACACGUAUCCAACCUGCCGUCUACUCUUGGACAGCCUUCUGAAAGGAAGAUUAAUACAAGAUGGCAUCAUGAGUCCGCAUGUUCACAUGAUUAAAGGUAUUCCGGUAGACGAUGGGGAUGCGUUCCAUUAGAUAGUAGGCGGGGUAACGGCCCACCUAGUCUUCGAUGGAUAGGGGUUCUGAGAGAAAGGUCCCCCACAUUGGAACUGAGACACGGUCCAA
rnacentral:rRNA from 1 species